UUAAAAAUUGAUUAAUAAAUCACGCAAAUCCUUUGUGGCCAAAUUGGGUGACGGAAAGUGCGGUUUCUUGGGGGUAAGGGCCCCCAGAAAAGCUGGAGAAACAACAUCAGGGUGAGAGUAAGGGCCCUCACCGUUAUGGACAUUGAAUCUCAUGUCCGAGCCGGUCUUCCCCGUGGUGAAGUGAUCGAGAGAUGCGAAGAUCAGGACGAGGGUGCCCCCGCCGUUAUGGACCUUGCUCUCUUUUGCCGGUGUGUGCUUCACCGUGGGCGAAGUGUGGCCGUGUGGACACCACUUUCCGUCCCGCUUUCUUUAUUUCUUCUUGAAUGUAUAAAAAUAUUUACAAGUUGAUCAAACAGAACAAAUAAGAUAUGAUUACAAUUGAUUUCUUAUAUUUAAUUAAGUUCUAUAGUUCCUGAUUAUUGGGAUGCUUCUUCUUCAUCAAAGGGUUGGGUGGGUGGGAUUUUCCUUCCAUGUUGUCUCGAAGACCGUUGAAACCAGAGUGAACUGAGAUAAAAUUUGACUAGCUUUUGCUGAUAACUGAAGAAUGUCGGCUUAGCAAAAUGGGAUUAUAUUGGCAAUUUGGCAUUCACACAUGGCAGGUGUUGCCCGGAGAGCAAGGCGGUUGUUUUCUUUGCUUAUCGUUUCCGUUUAGUUUUCGGUAUGGAUGUUGCCUCUUAUUAAUCCUAAUUUAUUUUUUAAAAUAAAUUGCUC